AGGGUGGGGCCUUGGGUAAAGCCCUGGGCUCAGAGUUCAGUGAGUUCUUGGUGCACAGAGCUCCAAGAACCACUCCAGCACGCUGCCUGCCACGGAGCAGGGUUUCAGCAAGUAUUUGCUGGAUGAGUGAGAGGCUAAGUGGAUGAAUAAAGAUCUAAGUCAGAGUCAAGCUAGGAAUAGUCUGCACCUCAAGGCUCUACCAGCACUAGGAAAGGGUCUACCUAGAGACUGCAGAAGAGAUGAGCCUACAUGAAGAUAUUCAAGGAGACCCAGGGAAGGUGUCUAAGAGGCUGUGAAAGCAUGAAGUCACACGGGCCAUGGCUGUCAGCAGAGGAGUUUAUGGCUAAAAACAUCUGGAGGAAAAUGGGCUCUGCCAGAGCGCGCGCAGCCGCAGCCCACCCCUCCUCCUCCGGCACCUGAAAUCCUGUCCCCUUCCGCCCAUUUACGACUGUUUGCUGUGGAAACGGCUUGCGGAGCGGCCCCGAGGGAGCUAGUGGGAGAGCACAGUUCACGAUGGAGCCCACGGCCUGUUUCCCAUUCUGACCCCGAGGAGCGAGCGGGGAACCUGGGCCGGAGCAGCCCCGGGAGGACCGGGAGCGCAGUGAACUGCUGGCUGCUUGGCCGGGAGGGGUGCCCUUUUCCAGAUCUGGAGCUGCACUAUAAUUCCAUGGGACCUAGAAUAAAAAUUACAACUGCAAACCUGGGAAGGACCUUUUUCUGGAAUGUUACCAAAGGAUGAUUGUAAAACAACUUGAGGACCUCAAAUGAAAGGGACCACUGAAUGGAGGUGACAUUCAGUUCAGAAAACUGCAGGCCACUCUAGAAGGGUCAACUAUUCCACCUCACAGUGAAAAUGAGACCACUGCAUAUGUGCAGCUCACACUAACCUCUAUAAUGCAUGCAUUCCAAAUUAUAAUUAUGGGGAUAAAUCUGAAAUGCAUGGUGGUAGAUGCAGAGCCAGCCCAUAUUAGCUACCAGCGUGGGGGGCAGGAAGUGAUGUGUUUUCAUCACCUACCGUGUAUCAUGUGUUUGACACUCAGGAUUUUAUCAUCCUUAUGGUGGCCCUGAGCCAGGCAUUAUCAUCCCUAAUUUCCAGUUGAAGAAAUAGAAGCUCAGAAAGGUUGAGCAGCCCUGAGCUCUGCCCAGGUUCAAGCAGUGGCUCCAUGAUGACUUUGAGGUUGAACUCAAACUGGCUUGUUCUCAGAGCCUGUGCUCAUUUCACAGCACACACUUCCCCUUUGGAAAAGUCCAAAGUUCCACCCUGAGAAUGGAAUGACUUUCAAUCUCUUCUGAAGACAGGC
ensembl:lncRNA